AUGAACGCUGGCGGCGUGCCUAAUACAUGCAAGUCGAGCGAACAGACGAGGAGCUUGCUCCUUCGACGUUAGCGGCGGACGGGUGAGUAACACGUAGGUAACCUACCUAUAAGACUGGGAUAACUUCGGGAAACCGGAGCUAAUACCGGAUAAUAUUUCGAACCGCAUGGUUCGAUAGUGAAAGAUGGCUUUGCUAUCACUUAUAGAUGGACCUGCGCCGUAUUAGCUAGUUGGUAAGGUAACGGCUUACCAAGGCAACGAUACGUAGCCGACCUGAGAGGGUGAUCGGCCACACUGGAACUGAUACACGGUCCAGACUCCUACGGGAGGCAGCAGUAGGGAAUCUUCCGCAAUGGGCGAAAGCCUGACGGAGCAACGCCGCGUGAGUGAUGAAGGUCUUCGGAUCGUAAAACUCUGUUAUUAGGGAAGAACAAACGUGUAAGUAACUGCGCACGUCUUGACGGUACCUAAUCAGAAAGCCACGGCUAACUACGUG
rnacentral:rRNA from 1 species